AUGUACGUUCCUACAACAUAGUGUUAAUGCACCAGAUCUCAUUAGAACUCCGCAGUUAAGCGUGCUUAGGCUAGAGUAGUAUUGGGAUGGGUGACCACUGGGGAAGUCCUAGUGUUUUACAUG
rnacentral:rRNA from 1 species